GACGAACGCUGGCGGCGUGCUUAACACAUGCAAGUCGAACGGACAGGCCCGGCUCUUGUGCGGUGCUCGAUAGGCGAGGGGGGGAGUAACACGUGAGUAUACUGCACUUGAAUUUGGGAUAAAUUCACGGAACUGGGGCGCAUAUCGGGUAGGAGCUAUUGAUCCAUGGGGGGGGAUGGUAAGAUUCGGCGGUUGUGGCUGGACUAGCGGCUUAUCAGCUUGUUGGUGUGGUAGUGGCGGACAAAGGUUUUGACGGCUAGCCCGCCUGGGAGGGGGACCGGCCACAAUGGGACUGAGAGACGGAGCAGUCUGCUACGGGAGGCAGCAGUGGGGAACAUUGCACAACGGGCGGAAGCCUGAUGCAGCGGCGCCGCGUGCGUGAUGACCGGCUACGAGUUGUAAACCGCUUUCGCCUGUGCCGAAGCGUGAUUGACGGUAAUGGGUAAGGAAGCACCGGCUAACUACGUG
rnacentral:rRNA from 1 species